CCGGGUCACCUUCCCUGCCGCCGGAACCGCUCUGUGCGCGCUGCCCAACGAAGGAAGGGGCUGCCCCACGCAGACCCGGCUUCUGGGGGUCCCUGGAAACCCAGGCGGCCACGGUGUGGCGGGGGAGACAUGGUCACUUUUCCUGCAGGGUGCGCCUGAGCAGAGGGGCAGCCCGUUACAGUAGGCGAGGCCAGGGCAAACCCGGGGUCACUAUCAGCGCUGCGAGACUGGUAUUCAAGGUCCUCUCAGCCGGGCCUCUCACCCACCCCGCUGGCCGCAGCCGGAGGCUGCCACGCGGACACCGUCUCAAGCCUCUGAGCAUUGCUCUGAGCCUCUGCCUGCAAUGUCCUUCCUCUGUCAUCUCUAGGCCUCGGCUCAGCCCUGGACCUAGCCUUUCUGCCCCGCCCUACCCCAAGCUGGCGCCACCGCCCGUGGCUGAACUCCGACCUCCCACCGCAGGCGCCGCGGUACCCUGGCUGUGGCCCUCGGCGCUUUCUUCCUAGGGUCACAGGACCCAUACGAGUGGGAGCUCCCUGGGAGCAGAACUGCGUCUUGUAUCACCUGGCGCGGUGAACGUGGGGGUUGAAACGCUCCACGCGGAAGCUCGGAGAAGCCGCGGCUGUCCCCGGAACCCUCCGAGCGGCGCCCUCAGGCCCCCGCCAAAAAGCUCCGCAAGCCGAGGACCAUCUACUCCAGCCUGCAGCUGCAGCACCUAAACCAGCGUUUCCAGCACACGCAGUACCUGGCGCUGCCCGAGAGGGCCCAGCUGGCAGCGCAGCUCGGCCUCACCCAGACCCAGUAAAGAUCUGGUUUCAGAACAAACGCUCCAAGUAUAAGAAGCUCCUGAAGCA
rnacentral:lncRNA from 1 species